rnacentral:rRNA from 1 species
UGCCAGCAGCCGCGGUAAUACGUAGGGCGCAAGCGUUAUCCGGAAUUAUUGGGCGUAAAGAGCUCGUAGGCGGUUUGUCGCGUCUGCCGUGAAAGUCCGGGGCUUAACCCCGGAUCUGCGGUGGGUACGGGCAGACUAGAGUGAUGUAGGGGAGACUGGAAUUCCUGGUGUAGCGGUGAAAUGCGCAGAUAUCAGGAGGAACACCGAUGGCGAAGGCAGGUCUCUGGGCAUUAACUGACGCUGAGGAGCGAAAGCAUGGGGAGCGAACAGGAUUAGAUACCCUGGUAGUCCAUGCCGUAAACGUUGGGCACUAGGUGUGGGGGACAUUCCACGUUUUCCGCGCCGCAGCUAACGCAUUAAGCGCCCCGCCUGGGGAGUACGGCCGCAAGGCUAAAACUCAAAGGAAUUGACGGGGGCCCGCACAAGCGGCGGAGCAUGCGGAUUAAUUCGAUGCAACGCGAAGAACCUUACCUGGGUUUGACAUACACCCUGCCGCCUCAGAGAUGGGGCUUCUUUUGGGGGUGUACAGGUGGUGCAUGGCUGUCGUCAGCUCGUGUCGUGAGAUGUUGGGUUAAGUCCCGCAACGAGCGCAACCCUCGUUCUAUGUUGCCAGCACGUUAUGGUGGGGACUCAUAGGAGACUGCCGGGGUCAACUCGGAGGAAGGUGGGGAUGACGUCAAGUCAUCAUGCCCCUUAUGUCCAGGGCUUCACGCAUGCUACAAUGGCCGGUACAAAGGGCUGCGAUGCCGUAAGGCGGAGCGAAUCCCAAAAAGCCGGUCUCAGUUCGGAUUGGGGUCUGCAACUCGACCCCAUGAAGUCGGAGUCGCUAGUAAUCGCAGAUCAGCAACGCUGCGGUGAAUACGUUCCCGGGCCUUGUACACACCGCCCGU